UCUUAAAUUUUACCUUGUAUAUAUAUCUCAAAUAAAGACAAAAUCUAUCAUUUUUAGAUAUUAUUAUUAUUAUUAAGCAAUUUAAAACUAAAAUAACCAAGUAGAUAGCAAAAAACUAAUCUUAUUACUACCAAAAUGAUUGUUUAGGAGGUUCUUGAAUAUUUAUAUAUUUUCUUUUGCAAAUAAAUCGUGUUUAUUAUUUUUCUUAAAUUUUAUCUUGUAAAAGCCUAAAUUUAUACUUAGAAAAUAUUAUUAAAGCCUAAAACUU
rnacentral:misc_RNA from 1 species